AACCCACUAGUCGUGCGACUCUAGGGGAUGACUUGUGUGUAGGGGAGAAAUUCCAAUCGAGUUUGGCAAUAGCUGGUUCUCUCCGAAAUAGCUUGAGGGCUAGCGUCCGGACAAAUAUACCCGAGGGGUAGAGCUACUGGAUGAGGUGUCGCCGUAAGGUAGGCUCUUCAACCAAACUCCAAAUACUCGUGGUACGUACCCGGGCAGUCAGUAUUACGGGGCUAAGCUCGUAGUACAAAAGGGAAACAGCCCAGACCGUCAGCUAAGGUCCCGAAAUCUUUGCUCAGUGGGAAAGGCAGUGAAGGCUCUUAGACACUUAGGAGGUUGGCUUAGAAGCAGCCACCCUUUAAAGAGUGCGUAAUAGCUCACUAAUCUAGAGCCUUUGCGCCGAUAAUGUAACGGGGCUCAAGCAAAGUACCGAAGCUACGGAUUGCAUCGUAAGAUGCAGUGGUAGGAGAGCGUCCCAUACGCGCUGAAGCGGGAGGGUAACCGACCGUGAAGUGUAUGGAAGUGAGAAUGUUGGAAUGAGUAACCGCAAGGCAGGUGAGAUCCCUGCCCGCCGAAAAUCCAAGGUUUCCUGGGCUAUGGUGAUCAUCCCAGGGUGAGUCGGUCCUAAGGCGAGGCUGAAAGGCGUAGUCGAUGGACAAGAGGUUAAUAUUCCUCUACUGCGUAUAUAUUCGAUGGAGUGACGCAUCUCUGUACCUCUUGCCCCUUAUUGGAUUGGGGUUUAGGUCUUGAGGAUGUCAUAUAGGCAAAUCCGUAUGACAAUAAUCCGAGAGAUCCGACGAUUCCGGUAGCGAUACCGGGAAAGAAGAGGGAGCGGGGUGCCAGGAAAAGCUUCUCAGGUUCGUAUAUACGUAACCGUACCGCAAACCGACACAGGUGGAUUGGUCGAGAAGACUAAGGCGAACGGGAGAGUAUUCGUUAAGGAACUAGGCAAAAAAGCUAGGCGUAAGUUUGCAAUAUGCCUUGCCGGUUCUCUUCGGAGAGUCGGCCGCAGCGAAAGUUUUCCAAGCGACUGUUUACCAAAAACACAGCUCUCUGCAAACCCGUAAGGGGAAGUACAGGGGGUGACACCUGACCAGUGCUAGCUCGUUAACGGGAGCGGUUCACGCCAAUCCCCGAAGCGCUAGUGAACGUCGGCGAUAACUAUAAUCGUCCUAAGGUUCCGGAAAUUUCCUCGGAAGUUUUCGGAAGGACUGGGACGGUUAUAGGAAUGUGUGAAGAAAUGUGGAAGAAAAGGAAAAGUAAUUGCUUCUUUCGGAGAAAUCCGGAAGGUCCGAAAAUACUUAGCCAUAUGCUGGAAAAUCUGGAGUAUCUGAUGAUACUAUGGUAAAAUUAUUCCAUAGAAAUAUGGAAGAGUGAUGCCGAGUGAAAAAUCAAUCAGUGUGUCUCGCUUCAAUCGUGAGACGCCAGACAAUCAGCAGGAAAGACUGAAGACCGUUGGCUGGGUCAUCGGGUAUGUGGAUGGGGAAGGAUGUUUUUCAGUGAGUCUGCUCAGGAAUGCCACCACGAAAAGUGGUUGGCAGACAUUUCCGGAGUUUGUGGUGACACAAAGCGGAAAGAGUAAGGCUUCAUUGGAAAUAUUGCGAGAUUUCUUCGGAUGCGGGAAGAUAUUUGUGAAUCGACGGUAUGAUAACCACCGAGAGCACAUCUAUCGAUACUGUGUCCGAUCACAAGAGGAACUUCGCGAAAAGAUCAUUCCUUUCUUUAUGGAAAAUCCGCUCCGAACCGCCAAACGAAAAGAUUUCGAGCAUUUUUCUUUUAUCCUCAAUCAGAUGAGACUCAAACGACAUCUGACGGAGACUGGUAUGCAUAUGAUUGCCAGAAGGAUCGAGAAAAUGAAUCACAAGAAAGCUUCCCGGUUUUUAGAAUCCUCAGAGACCAAAUGCUAAGCGCGUAAUCGAUACGUGAAAAGAGAGUCCGUGCUCAUCGGCGACGAUGAGAAUAACACUACAGAGCGAAAUUCCUUGACAGGUAAGUUCUGUCCCGCAUGAAAGGUGUAACGAUUUGGAAACUGUCUCAACGAACAUCCCGGUGAAAUUGCAAUGACGGUAAAGAUGCCGUCGACCUGCAGCAAGACGAAAAGACCCCAUGGAGCUUUACUAUAACUUGGUAUUGACUUAAAGUUUUUGUUGCCGAGCAUAGGUGGAAGACUUUGAAGCGCCCCUUCCGGGGGGCGUGGAGUCGACAAUUGGAAUACCACCCUGCAGAGAUUUUAAUUCUAACCUGCCGCCGUAAUCCGGCGGGGGGACAGUGCCUGGCGGGUAGUUUGACUGGGGCGGUCGCCUCCUAAAGAGCAACGGAGGCGUUUACUAAGGUUGGCUAGGUCCGGAUGGAAAUCGGGCCGAUAGCGCAAAAGCACAAGCCAGCUUUACUGAGAGACCGAUCAGUUAAUCAGUUACGAAAGUAGAAUUUAGUGAACCGACCAUCACUCGUAGGAGUGUGGAAGAUCAUCAGAUAAAAGUUACCCUGGGGAUAACAGGCUGAUCUUGCCCAAGAGUCCAUAUCGACGGCAAGGUUUGGCACCUCGAUGUCGGCUCAUCGCAUCCUGGGGGUGGAGAAGCUCCCAAGGGUUUGGCUGUUCGCCAAUUAAAGCGGUACGCGAGCUGGGUUCAAACCGUCGUGAGACAGGUUGGUUUCCUAUCUGCUGUGGGCGUGUGUGACUUGAGAGAGCUCUUUCCUAGUACGAGAGGACCGGAAAGAACAAACCUCUGGUGUACGAGCUGUUCCGCCAGGAGCACUGCUCGGUAGCUAUGUUUGGGUAGGAUAACCGCUGAAAGCAUCUAAGCGGGAAGCCAAACUCAAGAUAAGGUCACGGUUCUGAUUUAUCAGAACAAGAUUCCCUGGAAGAUGACCAGGUUGAUAGGCCGCAGGUGGAAGCGUGGUGACACGUUAAGCCAAGCGGUACUAAUGAAAUCUAAUGACUAUUUC
rnacentral:rRNA from 1 species